GGAGUACAGUGCCAUGAUCUCAGCUCACUGCAACCUCUGCCUCCUGGGUUCAAGUGAUUCUCCUGCCUCAGCCUCCUGAGUAGCUGGGACUACAGGCGUGCACUACCACACCCACCUAAUUUCUGUAUUUUUGAAUAGAGACGGGGUUUCGCCAUGUUGGUCAGGCUGGUCUUGAACUCCUGACCUCAAGUGAUCUACCCACCUCAGCUUCUGAAAGUGCUGAGAUUACAGGGGUGAGCCACCAUGCCCAGCCUAUUCCUUCUUAUAUGUAAUAAUCAUUUGUUGAUUUCCAAAGUUUAAUGCCCUAAGCUAGGUAAUAUAUAGGAGAGACAAAAUUAAACAAGACAGUGAACUCCCAGGUACUAUGUCACUUAAGAAAAAAAGGGAAAAAAGGGACACCCCCUAAGGAAAGUUCACCUACAAAGAAACAAUACAUGAAGUGCUUAGUAACUGAAGAAGAUGAGUCUAGGACAUGUCCAGGGCCAUCACGAUCACAUCACACAUCACAUUGUCAAGGUAGCUUCAGUCCCUGCAAAGAUGGACUCAGAAAACUAAACUCACAGUAAGUCUGCCCUCAGAUUUAACCUGGCCACAGCCAUCAUCACUUAUUUGCCAAACUGGAACAGCUGAGGAGCACGACUACACACAGACAUUAGAUUCACAGAUAUGCAGGGCUGCCAAAUGGGACUCAUGAAGAGGCAGAAAUCUGGAAAUCCCAUUAGCGACAGAUGCAGCGCAGCAUGCGUGUCUGGGGAGGCACUGGCGCCAGCCCUUGGGGAAAGGCAGAUCCAUCUUGGAUCAUGACAGCCACUCCAAACCAACCUGAGGCCAGCAUGAGGGUGAGAUGUGGCGCAAAGAAGGGGUGGAUAAAGCCAGGCAGUUAGCAGCCAUCUACUUGCCCCAGAGUAGGGCAAAGACUCCUUGGUUUCCAAGAGAAAUGAGUUCAAGUCCUUGGAGGGCCUCUAAUUUGAUGUUUGAAUGGGAACCAGAGUGCUCAAGUUUGAAUCCUACCUCUACCACUUCACCUUGGGCAGGUUCCUUCACCUUUCUUUUUCUUCUCCGCAAAAUAGAUGUGACCCAUUCUAGGACUGUUGUAAU
rnacentral:lncRNA from 10 species